CUGUUAUGUCUACGUUCUCAACUUAACUUGACGACGGAGACCCGCUCACGUCUAUCUCUCGGCUCGGCUCGUGGGGGAGUGACCUCUUCGUGCUUGCUUCGUCUCCAGGUGACAGUCCCUGUCACCUGAGAGAAGGAGGCCCAUGCAGCAUCUGCACCUGUAAGGCCGUCUACACGAGGGCACUCCCCAACAUCCCCCCUACUUUAAUACGGUUUGUACAUAGCCAUCCAACGCGGCGAUCUUCGUGUUCGGGAAGAACGGCGUAGAGGCUGCACUGGCAUCGCAGGCUCACUAUGCAUGUCUUCCGGGAAUGUUUCCGAACGUAUGGCAAUCUCUCUUGAUGGUGGUGGACAAGGAACCUGCGGUGUUGGCGAGCACGUAGCUGCUGCGCUUGCUAGUGUCGAAUCGGACGGUUGCGCGCAGACAUUUGGAGCCGGGUCUGGUCUGGUUAUAGCCACGUUACCAUCCAUCAAGAUACUCAUAUCCAAGGCACGUUUAAACGGUGUGUAUGUGCUGGAAGAAUUUGCAAGGGUAUAAGAAUUAGUGUAACGAGGAUUUAACUGAUUAAUAUGUGACCGAAAUAUUUUUCCUUCUUCAUCGACUACUUGGUACAUGACCUUCCCCA